UAAUACCCCCCUCUGUUUCUCAUUUCAUACCAAACAAACCUUAUACCACCCUCUCUCUCUUCUCACCCCUUCCCCUCUAAGAAACCCUAGCCGCUGCCUUACACCCCUCUUCUCUUUCAUCCCAAAAAUGGCAACGACACAUAGAUGGCAGCGUUUGCGCAGUCUUGUACCAUCUAUUUCAGGCUAACAAUUAAUGCUUCAAUGUUUUUCACUCAAAACUGUCCAAACACGGUACAGACGCACCCGGUGAUACGCCGCCAGUCUAGGACACUGAUUCUGCUGUUUUGGGAGAGCUCCUUUGAUCCGGAGCGUGUACUUUUGGUAUAUAUCUUCUGACAUCUAUAUAUUCUGUAUGUAUGGUAACUUGGGGUACGGCGGGGCCCUGUCCCGUCAUCUGAUUCUAUAUGUCCGAUUAGAGGCCUGUAGAUAUGUAUGUGGGUUAUGGGUUGUCACUGUUCAGGUAGGUAUGUACGAGUUUGCUAUUCUGUCUGCUAUGAUAGCCUUAACGGCUUAAGUGUAAGUCUAAGUAUGCUUAUGUAUGUAUAUGUUCUCGCGCGCUGUAUUUUAUUU